rnacentral:rRNA from 1 species
UGGGGAAUAUUGGACAAUGGACCAAAAGUCUGAUCCAGCAAUUCUGUGUGCACGAUGACGUUUUUCGGAAUGUAAAGUGCUUUCAGUUGGGAAGAAAAAAAUGACGGUACCAACAGAAGAAGUGACGGCUAAAUACGUGCCAGCAGCCGCGGUAAUACGUAUGUCACAAGCGUUGUCCGGAAUUAUUGGGCGUAAAGCGCGCGCAGGCGGAUCAGUUAGUCUGUCUUAAAAGUUCGGGGCUUAACCCCGUGAUGGGAUGGAAACUGCUGAUCUAGAGUAUCGGAGAGGAAAGUGGAAUUCCUAGUGUAGCGGUGAAAUGCGUAGAUAUUAGGAAGAACACCAGUGGCGAAGGCGACUUUCUGGACGAAAACUGACGCUGAGGCGCGAAAGCCAGGGGAGCGAACGGGAUUAGAUACCCCGGUAGUCCUGGCCGUAAACGAUGGGUACUAGGUGUAGGAGGUAUCGACCCCUUCUGUGCCGGAGUUAACGCAAUAAGUACCCCGCCUGGGGAGUACGACCGCAAGGUUG